rnacentral:rRNA from 1 species
UGAGGAAUAUUGGUCAAUGGGCGUGAGCCUGAACCAGCCAAGUAGCGUGCAGGAUGACGGCCCUAUGGGUUGUAAACUGCUUUUAUACGGGGAUAACAGACAUUACGUGUAGUGUUUUGCAGGUACCGUAUGAAUAAGGACCGGCUAAUUCCGUGCCAGCAGCCGCGGUAAUACGGAAGGUCCGGGCGUUAUCCGGAUUUAUUGGGUUUAAAGGGAGCGUAGGCCGCAGGUUAAGCGUGUUGUGAAAUGUAGAUGCUCAACAUCUGAAUUGCAGCGCGAACUGGUCUGCUUGAGUACGCGCAACGUUGGCGGAAUUCGUCGUGUAGCGGUGAAAUGCUUAGAUAUGACGAAGAACUCCGAUUGCGAAGGCUGCUGACGGGAGCGUUACUGACGCUGAAGCUCGAAAGUGCGGGUAUCGAACAGG